rnacentral:rRNA from 1 species
GACGUAGGGCGCGAGCGUUGUCCGGAUUUAUUGGGCGUAAAGAGCUCGUAGGCGGCUUGUCGCGUCGGCUGUGAAAUCCCGUGGCUCAACUGCGGGUCUGCAGCCGAUACGGGCAGGCUAGAGUUCGGUAGGGGAGACUGGAAUUCCUGGUGUAGCGGUGAAAUGCGCAGAUAUCAGGAGGAACACCGGUGGCGAAGGCGGGUCUCUGGGCCGAUACUGACGCUGAAGCACGAAGGCCAGGGGAGCAAACGGG